rnacentral:rRNA from 1 species
GAUGAACGCUAGCUACAGGCUUAACACAUGCAAGUCGAGGGGUAACAAGAGAAAAGCUUGCUUUUCUUGUUGACGACCGGCGCACGGGUGAGUAACGCGUAUCCAACCUGCCUAUAACUAGGGAAUAACCUUGCGAAAGUAAGACUAAUACCCUAUGAUUUCCUUUGAUGACAUCAGAUUAGGAAUAAAGAUUUAUCGGUUAUAGAUGGGGAUGCGUCUGAUUAGCUUGUUGGCGGGGUAACGGCCCACCAAGGCAACGAUCAGUAGGGGUUCUGGGAGGAAGGUCCCCCACAUUGGAACUGAGACACGGUCCAAACUCCUACGGGAGGCGGCAGUGAGGAAUAUUGGUCAAUGGGCGGAAGCCUGAACCAGCCAAGUAGCGUGCAGGAUGACGGCCCUAUGGGUUGUAAACUGCUUUUAUACAGGGAUAAAGUUAGCCACGUGUGGUUAUUUGUAGGUACUGUAUGAAUAAGGACCGGCUAAUUCCGUGCCAGCCGCCGCCGUAA